GAGCAAGUGCGUCUUAUCAAUGGCGAAUCUCUUGCAUUGAAGGUUGGCAAAAUCAAUCAUGUUGCGAUUCUCCGUGCCUUUCAAAUUUUCUAUCAUUUUGAUUACGGCCUCGAACAAGUCGCUACAUC